GACGAACGCUGGCGGCGUGCCUAAUACAUGCAAGUCGAACGAAGCUGUUUUAACUGGUGCUUGCACCGACUUAAACAACUGAGUGGCGAACGGGUGAGUAACACGUGGGUAACCUGCCCCAAAGCGGGGGAUAACAUUUGGAAACAGAUGCUAAUACCGCAUAACCACAGAAACCACAUGGUUUCUGUGUCAAAGAUGGUUUCGGCUAUCACUUUGGGAUGGACCCGCGGCGUUUUAGCUAGUUGGUAAGGUAAUGGCUUACCAAGGCAAUGAUACGUAGCCGAACUGAGAGGUUGGUCGGCCACAUUGGGACUGAGACACGGCCCAAACUCCUACGGGAGGCAGCAGUAGGGAAUCUUCCACAAUGGACGAAAGUCUGAUGGAGCAACGCCGCGUGAGUGAAGAAGGUUUUCGGAUCGUAAAACUCUGUUGUCAGAGAAGAACGUGUGCGAGAGUAACUGUUCGUGCAGUGACGGUAUCUGGCCAGAAAGCCACGGCUAACUACGUGCCAGCCGCCGCCGUAA
rnacentral:rRNA from 1 species